AAUGGAGUAAGAAGGUGGAGAUGGGGAACUCAUGAUUGGCACAAGCAAGCAGAUGCUCAUGGAGAUGAUUAUAGCUUAGAAAUCAACAUUGAAAAUAAAGAAUGAAAAACUAAGAAAAUUUUGGUGAGAA
rnacentral:lncRNA from 1 species